rnacentral:sRNA from 1 species
CAGUACUUGCAUGCUUAUCCUUACCCACAGAUGUACGACCCCAGCCAUCCUGCAUACCGGGCUGUUUCUCCCGUCCUAAUGCACAGUUAUCCUGGGGCCUAUCUCUCUCCAGGAUUUCAUUAUCCUGUUUAUGGGAAGAUGUCAGGGAGAGAAGAGACAGAGAAAGUCAAUACCAGCCCUAGCGUCAACACGAAAACAACCACUGAAUCUAAAGCACUGGAUUUGCUCCAGCAGCAUGCUAACCAAUACCGCAGCAAGUCUCCUGCUCCUGUGGAAAAGGCUACAGCUGAGCGGGAACGGGAGGCAGAAAGGGAAAGGGAUCGCCACUCCCCCUUCGGCCAGCGGCACCUGCACACGCACCACCACACCCACGUUGGCAUGGGUUACCCGCUAAUCCCGGGUCAAUAUGACCCUUUUCAAGGCUUGACCUCUGCUGCCCUUGUUGCCUCUCAGCAGGUGGCUGCCCAGGCAUCUGCAUCUGGAAUGUUUCCUGGACAAAGAAGAUAAAGUCGCAAAUGGAGACAUUUAUUUUCAUAAUGCUAAAGAGAAUAACAAGAUUGGACAUGUACAUUGUCAUGUGACUGGAUCACAUGGGGAAGCGCUUUAUACAGACAUCAGUUCCAUGGUGUUAAUUUGAAAUGCCUUAAUGGCAGGCAAAAACCAGUCAUUUCAUUUUUGUAAAUUACAGAUUUUAUCACAAAGUAACAAAUGUUGCUGUAAUUAAACUUCUGUUUUAUAUAUAUAUACGUAUACAUAUCUGUAUAUAUACAUAUAUAUAUAUAUAAAUAUAAAUAUAUUCUUUACUUUUUGUAUCAGUAACCAGGCUCGCACACACAGGGUCUGCUGCCACGUCGCAAACCACUCAGUAAAGGAAAUUAAAAAUGUAUUUGUCAUGUUAAAAAGUGUUAGCCACAAAAGGCUACUUACUUUCUUUUCCUUUUCCUUUAAAAUUGUAAAUAAAUAAUGUUAUGUAUCAGUGUGCCUGAACCUUGCAUAUCCUUCACAUAUUUCCCAUAAGCCCCUCAGAAAGGCUAACUGUGAUGAUGACACUUUGGUACAAUUUAGAUGUCUAUUUGGUGGCUCCUGUUAAAGACGCACCAGUGUAAAAUGUUCCUGUAGUCACUGUUUGUACUUGUGUAUUGUGGAAAAAGUACUUUUGGAAGGCAUGGGGUUGCCAGUACCACAAAAACUGUGUUGUAUAUAAUGUAAAGAUUAAAAUGGGGAAAUAAUGAGCAUCUGUGAAUAAUGAGGUGUCAUUUUUUGAUAAUCUUGAAUGGCAAAUAACCCAAUAGCCUGCGUACCAGAGACAUCUGUGAUUGUUCUAUUACUUGAAUAGUUCUACAGUCUUUUUUUUUUUUUUAAUGUUUACAAUUAUCCAGUUUUAGAAGAGAGAGACUUUAACGCCAUUGCCUGGUUACUUGUUUUAUGCUGUAAUCUAGUUUAUUUUAUGUAAAAUGUAUAUUGAAUGCUUUCCUUUUUUAUACCUGCCUUAAAUAAUUUGGCAAUCAGAAUUAAAAAGUUUUUUUUUUUUUAAAUAAUG